rnacentral:rRNA from 1 species
GAUGAACGCUGGCGGCGUGCUUAACACAUGCAAGUCGAACGAUGAAGCCCAGCUUGCUGGGUGGAUUAGUGGCGAACGGGUGAGUAACACGUGAGUAACCUGCCCUUGACUCUGGGAUAAGCGCUGGAAGCGGCGUCUAAUACCGGAUACGAGCUUCCACCGCAUGGUGAGUUGCUGGAAAGAAUUUCGCUCAAGGAUGGACUCGGGGCCGAUCAGGUAGUUGGUGUGGUAAUGGCUCACGAAGCCGCCGACGGGUAGCCGGCCUGAGAGGGUGACUGGCCACACUGGGAAUGUAACACGGCCCAGACCCGAGCGGGCGGCAGCAGUGGGGAAUGUUGCACAAUGGGCGCAGGCCUGAUGCAGCAACGCCGGGAGAGGGAGGAAGGCGCUCGGGUCGUAGACCUCUUUUAGCAGGAAAGAAGCGAGAGUGACGGUACCUGCAGAAAAAGCUCCGGCUAACUAGGUG